GCCCUGGCCCAGGCCCUCAGUGUGUCCAUCCAGGUGGAGUACAUGGACCGCGGCGAGGGCGGCACCACCAACCCACACGUCUUCCCUGAGGGCUCUGAGCCCAAGGUCUACCUGCUCUACCGACCUGGACACUACGAUAUCCUCUACAAAUGACCGGCUGGCCUACCGUGCCCUGCCUGCCUCCCCUGCCAGGCACUAGACAUGUACAGAGGGUUUUUUCUUUUCUUUUUUUUUUUCGUUGUUUUCUUUUUUGUGUGUGUGUGGUUGUAAAUGGUCAUAUUUCACUCCUCCCUUUUCCUGUCAUAGAACCUUCCAUGUUUUAUUAAAGGAAAUGCUGGUGGUGA
rnacentral:lncRNA from 1 species